AAAUGUUCUGAUUGGUGGUGGUGAUGGCACAGUGGAUAUGACACAUGCUUUUGGUGUGGGAGUUCUGGGUUCGAUUGCCACUGCAACACAUCAACC